CUCUCCUUUAUCUGCUCCUCACGCUGCUCAUCUCUUCACUCAGCACGAGAGUCCCAUCACACACAGACACCAUGCUGCCAGCGCUCUGCUCUCUCUUCACUGCUCUCUCAUGUGUCAGUGGUGUGACUGUGGUGACGCAGAAGCCUCCUGUUCUCACACUGACUCAAGGACAGACGGCCACCAUGGACUGUAAUCUGGGGACUGUUACAAAAAGUGGUGCACGCUGGUACAAACAGGUUCCUGAAGGAGUUACUCAAUAUGCAAUAUUUUAUUAUCAUGGUGAUUCCUCUCCUAAAUAUGGAUCUGGUUUCUCAUCACCUAAAUUCACAUCAACACACUCCUCUGAAUCAGAUUAUAAACUGAUUAUCAGUAAUGUGGAGGUGGGAGACUCAGCAGUGUAUUACUGUAACACAUGGGAUGGCUCUGUUAAUGAGUGGGUGUCACAGUGAUGUACACCGUGACAAAAACCUCCUUACUGCUCACACUCACUUCUGCUUUCACACAAC